rnacentral:rRNA from 1 species
UACGAAGGGGGCUAGCGUUGCUCGGAAUCACUGGGCGUAAAGGGUGCGUAGGCGGGUUUUAAGUCAGAGGUGAAAUCCUGGAGCUCAACUCCAGAACUGCCUUUGAUACUGAAAAUCUUGAGUAUGGGAGAGGUGAGUGGAACUGCGAGUGUAGAGGUGAAAUUCGUAGAUAUUCGCAAGAACACCAGUGGCGAAGGCGGCUCACUGGCCCAUAACUGACGCUGAGGCACGAAAGCGUGGGGAGCAAACAGG